ensembl:lncRNA
ACAACAAUCAGGCUUCAGUAGGUCAGGAGACCUUCGAGUCAGCAGUGAGGGCUAACUCCACUCUAAAGGGCAAAGUGCAAGGAGAUCAGGUACAGAAGAGCUCACUAAAUGCAUGUCAGGGUGUUAGAGGUGUUAGCAAAGGAGGUGCUCUUGGAAGAGUUUAGAGGUGUUAGCAAAGGAGGUGCUCUUGUGUUAGCAAAGGAGGUGCUCUUGGAAGAGUUUAGAGGUGUUAGCAAAGGAGCUGCUCUUGGAAGAGUUUAGAGGUGUUAGCAAAGGAGGUCCUCUUGGAAGAGUUUAGAGGUGUUAGCAAAGGAGCUGCUCUUGGAAGAGUUUAGAGGUGUUAGCAAAGGAGGAGCUCUUGUGUUAGCAAAGGAGCUGCUCUUGGAAGAGUUUAGAGGUGUUAGCAAAGGAGGAGCUCUUGGAAGAGUUGAGUCUUUAAGAGAUUGUUGAAUAGGGAUACCGCUGCUCUGAUAGCAGUUAGUAAAAUUGGUUUGGUUCAUGUGUAUGUUCCUGCAUACUAAGAUUAGUUUUCUAAGUGUGUGCAGAUUAAAAGUUUACUUUCUGUGCAUAUAUUAAGUGUGAGGGUCUAUUGUGUGUGUGUGUGUGUGUGUGUGUGUGUGUGUGUGUGUGUGUGUGAGCGUGCAUGCAUGCCGGAGAUUUAGUUAGCGUGUGUGUGAGCAUGCGUGCAGGAGGUUUAGUUAGCGUGUGUGUGUGUGAU